GGGCGCGUCGUCUAGCCAGAGUUGAUUCAACUCCUAGAAUGGUUAGGAUGUCGCCUUUACACGGCGAAGGUCCCCGGUUCAAAUCCGGGCGUGCCCA
rnacentral:tRNA from 1 species